GUGGAGGUCCUCAUGGUUGUAGCACUGAGCAGUGCGCUACAUCCGGUGCUGCUCCACAUAGAGCGAGGCUGGUUCCUGCCGACAGGGCCUGUAAAGGCUUUGGGUUCCCUGUGCGAUGGUUCCAUACACU
ensembl:scaRNA